UACGAAGGGUGCAAGCGUUAAUCGGAAUUACUGGGCGUAAAGCGUGCGUAGGUGGUCUUUUAAGUCCGUUGUGAAAGCCCUGGGCUCAACCUGGGAAUGGCAGUGGAUACUGGAAGGCUGGAGUGCGGUAGAGGAGGGUGGAAUUCCCGGUGUAGCGGUGAAAUGCGUAGAGAUCGGGAGGAACAUCAGUGGCGAAGGCGGCCCUCUGGACCAGCACUGACGUUCAGGCACGAAAGCGUGGGGAGCAAACAGG
rnacentral:rRNA from 1 species